rnacentral:rRNA from 1 species
CACAUGCAGUCGAGGGGCAGCAUUUUAGUUUGCUUGCAAACUAAAGAUGGCGACCGGCGCACGGGUGAGUAACACGUAUCCAACCUGCCGAUAACUCGGGGAUAGCCUUUCGAAAGAAAAAUUAAUAUCCGAUAGUAUAUUAAAACCGCAUGGUUUUACUAUUAAAGAAUUUCGGUUAUCGAUGGGGAUGCGUUCCAUUAGUUUGUUGGCGGGGUAACGGCCCACCAAGACUACGAUGGAUAGGGGUUCUGAGAGGAAGGUCCCCCACAUUGGAACUGAGACACGGUCCAAACUCCUACGGGAGGCAGCAGUGAGGAAUAUUGGUCAAUGGACGAGAGUCUGAACCAGCCAAGUAGCGUGAAGGAUGACUGCCCUAUGGGUUGUAAACUUCUUUUAUAUGGGAAUAAAGUUUUCCACGUGUGGAAUUUUGUAUGUACCAUAUGAAUAAGGAUCGGCUAACUCCGUGCCAGCAGCCGCGGUAAUACGGAGGAUCCGAGCGUUAUCCGGAUUUAUUGGGUUUAAAGGGAGCGUAGGUGGAUUGUUAAGUCAGUUGUGAAAGUUUGCGGCUCAACCGUAAAAUUGCAGUUGAAACUGGCAGUCUUGAGUACAGUAGAGGUGGGCGGAAUUCGUGGUGUAGCGGUGAAAUGCUUAGAUAUCACGAAGAACUCCGAUUGCGAAGGCAGCUCACUAGACUGCAACUGACACUGAUGCUCGAAAGUGUGGGUAUCAAACAGGAUUAGAUACCCUGGUAGUCCACACAGUAAACGAUGAAUACUCGCUGUUUGCGAUAUACAGUAAGCGGCCAAGCGAAAGCAUUAAGUAUUCCACCUGGGGAGUACGCCGGCACGGUGAAACUCAAGGAAUUGACGGGGGCCCGCACAAGCGGAGGAACAUGUGGUUUAAUUCGAUGAUACG